AAAGUUUGACAGACAAUCGCCGGUGCGCUAGCGCACGGGAGGAAAGUCCGGGCUCCAUAGGGCAGGGUGCUGGAUAACGUCCAGUCAGCGCGAGUUGAAGGAUAGUGCCACAGAAAUGGACCGCCGAUGACGCCGCAAGGCGAACAGGCAAGGGUGGAACCGUGGUGUAAGAGACCACGAGGGGAUAGGGUGACUUAUUCCCUGGUAAACCCCACUUGGAGCAAGACCGAAGAGAACGCAGCGGACGGCUUGCCGAUCCGCAGUCCUUGCCCGGGGCGCGUUCGGGUUGGUCGCUGGAGUCCGUCAGCAAUGGCGGGCCUAGAUAGAUGAUUGUCACUUCGAUGGUGGGAGGGUUGUGGUGCCCGUUACGACCACCGGAAGUACAGAACCCGGCUUACGGCAAGCUUUCCGG
rnacentral:RNase_P_RNA from 1 species